rnacentral:rRNA from 1 species
GACGAACGCUGGCGGCGUGCCUAAUACAUGCAAGUCGAACGCUUCUUUCCUCCCGAGUGCUUGCACUCAAUUGGAAAGAGGAGUGGCGGGCGGGUGAGUAACACGUGGGUAACCUACCCAUCAGAGGGGGAUAACACUUGGAAACAGGUGCUAAUACCGCAUAACAGUUUAUGCCGCAUGGCAUAAGAGUGAAAGGCGCUUUCGGGUGUCGCUGAUGGAUGGACCCGCGGUGCAUUAGCUAGUUGAUGAGGUAACGGCUCACCAAGGCCACGAUGCAUAGCCGACCUGAGAGGGUGAUCGGCCACACUGGGACUGAGACACGGCCCAGACUCCUACGGGAGGCAGCAGUAGGGAAUCUUCGGCAAUGGACGAAAGUCUGACCGAGCAACGCCGCGUGAGUGAAGAAGGUUUUCGGAUCGUAAAACUCUGUUGUUAGAGAAGAACAAGGACGUUAGUAACUGAACGUCCCCUGACGGUAUCUAACCAGAAAGCCACGGCUAACUACGUG